UAAAAUCUAGGGUUUACAUUCAAAAUUCUACUUAAAUGAACAAAUUCGUACUCUUCUUUUUCGGAAUUUAGUUGCGAUUGACGAACUUCAUCUCGAAUGUCAGACAUUUUUAGAUGUUUUGAUGCAAUUUGCAGUAAUUUUGAAGAUUUUUUUCUUGAAUUGUAGCGAUUUUGAGUAUUUGAAGAGAGAGAAUAUGGUGUUGAAGAGAAAUGGAGAAUUAAUUGCAAGUUCUAACUAGUGCGGUUAGUGGGAUGCGGUUAGUGGGGGUAAGGGUUUUACGGUAAUUUCAGGGGGGGAGAAGGUAUUAAUGGCUAAAGGGGGGUGUAGUGAAUACGAAUUACAUCAAAAGUCUAUCAUCGUUUGAUUACAUUAUUGACAAGAUUACUUAUAACUAUUGCUAAAUUAAUCCAUUACACACUCUCGUGGCAAAUUGAGCUUAUCAUAUUGGUUGCCUCUUUCUUAACGAAUUCGAUAAUUAGAGCAUUCGUUAUAUAUUUAUAUCUAUUGGGAGACAAAUUGAGCAAUGGAUUACAUUAUUAAUGUUGGUCAUUUAGCUUGUGAUGCUAAUAACAUUAUUCCUUUGAAAACUUCUUUUUUUUUUCUUUUUUUUUUUUUUUUUUUCUCAUCCUCUUUUUCAAUAAUACAUUAGGUAUUCACCUCAUAAGAAGGAGAUCUCAAAUAAAGUUUAUCACCUUUUUUCUUUAAUUAAAAUAUAUGAACUAUUUGGUCUAGUUUAGGUGUUGGUCAAGUUUAAGGAAUUCCGCUCCUGAUUAGAGAGAAUUUUGAUAAUCCAAGGCAAACAAAUCUUCUACUAUAACUUAUUUAGUCAAAUUUACUAUCGUUUGGAAAAUUUGCUCAAAAAUAUAUUAAUAUACGGAGUACUAUUUCUAUAUCUUUAUUUUUAAAUUACAUUAUGCAAUAACUAUUGGCUAACCAGCUACAAAGUUUUACACACAACUAGCUACUUAUUGCCAAACAAGGACAUAAUCAUAAAACCCAAAUUAAAUAUGAAGUAUUAGUUUGAAAAAUUCAUUAAAUACCAUUAGUGCAAAAUAUGGUUAAAGUUCAAUCAAAUCAAUACAUCAGAUCAAUAUCGAAAAGUUUUUCCAAACAUAUCCAAUGAAUAAUAAAACCAAUUACCAUGAAGCAUGAAUAUUUCCUAUCAAAAAGCAUACAAAAACAAAAAUUCAAUCAUCAAAUAACUUGAAAAAAAAUCUAAAAUUCUUAAUCAUCCAACUGUAAAGCAUAUUAGCAUACCAAAAAUUUCCUUGGGUAAAGGAGUUCAAUGAGUAUUUACAGGAAUUACCAAAACUUUAUCUUAUGUUUUUCCCCCUCAUUAUUCAAACAUCUUUUACUUUUUUGUAGGAAUGUGAAUAUCCCACCCCUUUUAAAGUUGAUUAAAAAGCAAUUUCACAAUCUAGACAAAAUUAUCACUUUCUUGGACCCCCACCACCCAAAAAAAAUGAACUCUUAUUUUACUCUUUUUCAACAUGAAAUCUGCAAAAUACCCAGCAAUACAAACACAAAUAUAGAAAAAGUUUGCAACUUUGAUUUUUGUAUCAUCCUAAAAUCAAUAUAACUAGCUAUUGCAUGCUUCAAUUGGGUCAUUUUCAUCAUUCAACACUAUUUGCACACCAAGUGUUUGUUAAAAUGUCAAUGAGAGAUUGAUCAUAUUUUUUUAUAGGGACGGGUAUAGAUCCCAACUUUUGGCAACUCAAAAACUUACCUCAGUUUCAGAACUACAUCCGUACAUCCCUAAUUGGUAUAUGUUACAUUAGUUUUGGGCAUCCCUGAUUGGUGUACGUUAACGUAGAUCAAGGAUGGAGGGAGUAUUGAGUUAUUGACAAUACUUUGGUAUGGCGUUCAGAUUCCUACAUAAGCGGCGAUAUGUCAUUCUCCAAGUCUUUUGGUACUGCACGUAUUACCCACCCUUGUUCAAACAAUGGUUUCAGGCAGAUUGCAAUAAUUUUGCUGCGAGUGUCAGAGAUUAAAUGUGGGAGGAAUCUCAGUGACAAACUGGCAGGUGUGAAACUCUGAGUUUACCAGAAAUGAUGUUUGACUGUUGAAUACCAAUUGCCAUAUCAUAUGAAGCAUUAUUGUUUCUUGGAUUGUAUAGUUUUUUACAGUUGGAAUAAAAUAAUUGAAUACUUGUCUGCUAGUUCUGGAUUAAUUUACCCUUUACUGUACUUUGCAAUUUGCAUGAUGCCCAUGUUUUAAAAAGCGGGUGAAUUAUUCUUUGAAAUUGAAAUUUAAUUUGAUCUUAU